GUGGGGAAUAUUGGACAAUGGGGGGAACCCUGAUCCAGCCAUGCCGCGUGUGUGAAGAAGGCCUUUUGGUUGUAAAGCACUUUAAGCGAGGAGGAGGCUACCGAGAUUAAUACUCUUGGAUAGUGGACGUUACUCGCAGAAUAAGCACCGGCUAACUCUGUGCCAGCAGCCGCGGUAAUACAGAGGGUGCAAGCGUUAAUCGGAUUUACUGGGCGUAAAGCGCGCGUAGGUGGCUAAUUAAGUCAAAUGUGAAAUCCCCGAGCUUAACUUGGGAAUUGCAUUCGAUACUGGUUAGCUAGAGUAUGGGAGAGGAUGGUAGAAUUCCAGGUGUAGCGGUGAAAUGCGUAGAGAUCUGGAGGAAUACCGAUGGCGAAGGCAGCCAUCUGGCCUAAUACUGACACUGAGGUGCGAAAGCAUGGGGAGCAAACAGGAUUAGAAACCCUGGUAGUCC
rnacentral:rRNA from 1 species